rnacentral:rRNA from 1 species
AUUGAACGCUGGCGGCAGGCCUAACACAUGCAAGUCGAGCGGAUGAAGGGAGCUUGCUCCUGGAUUCAGCGGCGGACGGGUGAGUAAUGCCUAGGAAUCUGCCUGGUAGUGGGGGAUAACGUCCGGAAACGGGCGCUAAUACCGCAUACGUCCUGAGGGAGAAAGUGGGGGAUCUUCGGACCUCACGCUAUCAGAUGAGCCUAGGUCGGAUUAGCUAGUUGGUGGGGUAAAGGCCUACCAAGGCGACGAUCCGUAACUGGUCUGAGAGGAUGAUCAGUCACACUGGAACUGAGACACGGUCCAGACUCCUACGGGAGGCAGCAGUGGGGAAUAUUGGACAAUGGGCGAAAGCCUGAUCCAGCCAUGCCGCGUGUGUGAAGAAGGUCUUCGGAUUGUAAAGCACUUUAAGUUGGGAGGAAGGGCAGUAAGUUAAUACCUUGCUGUUUUGACGUACCA